CCCCGGCGGCGCGGUACUCGGCCUACCUCCCGGGAGAUGGGACACCAGGAGCCCCCGCGGGCCCGAGUGAGGGCGGGAGGUGCGGCUUAUAUAAAGGGGUUACGUAAAGGGCUCAGCUGGCGCGAACACGUGGAGAGCCUAGAUGCCCAGUUCUCCCCCGAGAGCGACGCUGCCAUCACCCAUGCAGCUGCAGGCUGCGCCGCACGCCUGGCGCGGGCCACAGCCUCUCGCGCGGCUCCGUACCGGAGGCAGCCCCAGCCUGGAGCAGACCAUCCCCAGCCGGGGGUCUUAGGGGGGAAACGGGCUGCCCGGAAGUGGAAGGACGCCGGCCAGGUCACAAUCCAAGGUCCCGCUCCUCCGCGUCCCGGGGCCGGACGGAGGGAUGAGGCAGGGGGGACCCGGGCAGCGCCGUUGCUGCUCCCCCCACCGCCCGCAGCCAUGGAAACGGGGGAGGAGGACGGCGCCCGCAGAGGUACACAAAGCCCCGAGCGGAAAAGGCGAAGCCCAGUGCCGCGGGCGCUCAGCGCGAAGCUGAGGCCGGCGGCGGCGGCCCAGGCCAUGGAUCCGGUGGCGGCCGAGGCCCCGGGCGAGGCCUACCUGGCGCGGCGGCGGCCGGAGGGCGGCGGCGGGUCGGCGCGGCCGCGCUACAGCCUGUUGGCGGAGAUCGGGCGCGGCAGCUACGGUGUGGUUUACGAGGCAGUGGCCGGGCGCAGCGGGGCCCGGGUGGCGGUCAAGAAGAUCCGCUGCGACGCCCCCGAGAACGUGGAGCUGGCGCUGGCCGAAUUCUGGGCCCUGACCAGCCUCAAGCGGCGCCACCAGAACGUCGUGCAGUUUGAGGAGUGCGUCCUGCAGCGCAACGGGCUAGCUCAGCGCAUGAGCCACGGCAACAAGAGCUCGCAGCUUUACCUGCGCCUGGUGGAGACCUCGCUCAAAGGAGAAAGGAUCCUGGGUUAUGCCGAGGAGCCCUGCUAUCUCUGGUUUGUCAUGGAGUUCUGUGAAGGUGGAGACCUGAAUCAGUAUGUCCUGUCCCGGAGGCCGGACCCAGCCACCAACAAAAGCUUCAUGCUACAGCUCACCAGCGCCAUUGCCUUCCUGCACAAAAACCACAUCGUGCAUAGGGACCUAAAGCCAGACAACAUCCUCAUCACAGAGCGGUCUGGCACCCCCAUCCUCAAGGUGGCAGACUUUGGACUAAGCAAGGUCUGUGCUGGGCUGGCCCCCCGAGGGAAAGAGGGCAAUCAAGACAACAAAAAUGUGAAUGUGAAUAAAUACUGGCUGUCCUCAGCCUGCGGCUCAGACUUCUACAUGGCCCCUGAAGUCUGGGAGGGACACUACACAGCCAAGGCCGACAUCUUUGCCCUGGGCAUUAUCAUCUGGGCAAUGAUAGAAAGAAUCACUUUCAUUGACUCUGAGACCAAGAAGGAGCUCCUGGGGACCUAUAUCAAACAGGGGACUGAGAUCGUCCCCGUUGGUGAGGCGCUGCUAGAAAACCCAAAGAUGGAGUUGCACAUCCCCCAGAAACGCAGGACUUCCAUGUCUGAGGGGAUCAAGCAGCUCUUGAAAGAUAUGUUAGCUGCUAACCCACAGGACCGGCCUGAUGCCUUUGAACUUGAAACCAGAAUGGACCAGGUCACAUGUGCUGCUUAAAAUUCAGGGCAAAGCAUCUUGGGUGUUCUUAAAACUCGGUGUCCACUAGAACAGGCCCCCAGAAGGUUGAUCCUCGGGACCCACAGUCUCAUCAGAUCUCGCACAGAGGACGGCAGAGGGUACAGGUUGUGGCUUGGCCGGUUGGCGAUCUCCCAACAGCUGGGUCUCCAGCAAUGUGAAGCUUUUGUUUGGGUUUUCCCCCGCCUUUUAGUUGCUUAAUUUUUUUGUUGUUGUUCUUUUUUUUUUGUCUUUCCUUUUUUUUUUAUUUAAACAAUUAAGACUUCAGAAGAGCUACGCUGUGGACAGGCACCAGUUUCUUUAAAGAAACCCAAUAUGGACAACGCAUAUGUAUAAAUGUCAUUUUUAAUUUUUACAAGGGAUUAGGGAGCUGUUUUAUUUUUGUCCUUUAUUUUCCCUAUCUUCUUUCUUUUACCCAUCUCCUAGUUCUGCUUAUAACACCUCACUUCCCCAGGGAAGGUCUGCCUCUCCGUGUAGAAUUUGGGGAUCUCUCCUGGAAUAGGGGGCAAGAAGCCAGAAAGAGGCCUGUGUGCCGCCUCCCACCAGAUGCAGGAGCUGCCGGACUCCCUGAUGGGCGGUUCCUGGCUGGCCCUUGGGCCUUGUAGAUGAUCGGAAGCCAAGAACUACCUGGAAGGGGAAGACCAGGGCUCAGCCAGGAGAACUGGAGAAAGAAGAUCAAAACUGCGGGUUUGUCCUCCAUAAGCUGUUGGCAGCCCCAGGACACACCAGGACUUGCAGCGGUGGGACUCUGUUCCCUCUGCCGCCCUUUAUACCUGGGAGUUCUGAGAGGGGAGGGCCAGAAGGUGACCAUCUCGUACUUCCUGGCAGGUGGGUGGCCAGCCCACCCCAGCUCUACAAGCCUACCUUUCUGUUAGUGACCUUCCUCCUAGAGGACGAGUCCCAGGAAAAAACUGUCGUGCCAAACCUCUGCCCGGGACACAGCUGGGUCUUUGGUGGGUAUCUGUCACUCCUGUGAGGUCAGCACCCAUCACCUACUGCCUCCUGGAUCAUCGUCUUCCCAGGUGUGCCCACCAGACAUCCAGGUUGUCAGAGACCUCCCCCGAGUCCCUGUGAUCCGGUUGUGACCAUUGCCAUAAGAACAGGGUGUCCUGAAUGGCUACCACUGUCAUCUGCUCCCAGUGACAGGUGUGCCCUGUGUGCCGGGCCCCAUGCAGUGAUGGUGUCAGGCAUCGUCUUCCUCACCCCAGGGACUCACUGUUAGGCACCCCCCUCAGUGUAAAGGCGUCUCAUGGGGAAAGGGUGGACCUGCCCAGAGCAGGGAGCCUACCGUGCCCCUGAUCCCACCACCGUCUGUCUGUACAGCCUUUCUCCCGCCCUCCAGCACUGCUCCUGCAGCCCCCUCCUCCUGGGCCUCUCAAGUGGGGUGUCCUCGCCCCUCGCUCUCCCUUGUCACCCUUCCCUGGAAGCCCCUCGGCUACUCCAGAACCUCACCCGCCUCAUUGUGGCCACGCAGGAAAGGGGAAAGGCAUUCUUACUUUGUGUUUUGUUUCCUGUUUUCUCUAAACCAGCAUAGGAUGGAUAGGGGAGGUGCUCGAGGGCGUCUCAGUUGGUGUGUGACCAAGGGGGCUUCCCCUCAAAGCCACAGCCCUUCGCCUGGGGAGUUUGGGAGAGACCAGCACAGCGUCAGCCCAAACUCAUGGACUCAGCUGCUCACGUUCUUCCCGCCUGUUCACGCCCUCACAUCCCAAGGCCGCUUCCUCCUCCUGGGCAGACGGCUGGCUGUGGUUGGCAGCAUCCGGCAAGGCUGCAGGUGGUCGGCAGGCCCUUCCCUUCCCUCGGCCGAAGUCCUUUGUCAUCGCCUGUCUCUUCUCUCUCCUCUCUGACUUCUCAGCCACCCCUUGAGAGUCCCCUGAGCUGCAGCUGGGAGGCCGCACCCCAGAUCGCAGCAGGCGCUCCUUCCCUGCCCAUCUCCCUGCCCUCCCUGGGGCAGCCGUCCCUCUGCACGUGGGAGAACGGUCCCCAGACUUGGCACCCGCAACUCUCUCUGGCCGCAGCCCUCGCUCUGAGGACCUAAUGAGGGUUCAGGCCUAACAGGUUUUUUGCCUUUUGCUCGUCUUUCCCUUCUGCCCUCCCCCGGUCUCUUCACCCUGCCUAAGGCCUUGGAGCUGUAGGUCACAGGUGUCCAUACCUUUUGGGUGAGGUGGGCAGCCUGGGUCGAGGUCACGGCCUCCAUGUACCCUCAUCUUGUAGGACUUCCAGCCCAUCCCUGCUUCGUGGAAGACCCCUGUCCCUCGUUACCCCAAGUGCCUGACUCCUGCCACCCCUGCUUUCCACUUCGUCUGCCUUGGGCGCCCUGUGGCCGGCCAGAUGUCAGCUCUGUCAGCCCGCCUCUGCCCAGCUCGGGCGAGCCUUGGUUAGACCCCGGAAGCCUCUCCCUCAGCCCGUCUUCAUCUCUUCCCGCCUUUUAUCGUCUCCACCUGGGUCUUGGGCCUGGCAGCCGCUCUGGGGCACAGCAUCUCAGUGCCACCAAGUCUGUUAGUGCCGUCCAAGUUCUAGGAGUGUCCAGCCCUCAUUAGCAGUCAGUUAUUCUCUUCUUGGAUCUGUGAAAAACAUAGCCAGUUGGAGGGAGGAUCUGGGCCACAGCCAUACGGACCUGAGCUCUGUCUCCCCUCAGUGAGAGGAAUCAGGAAUCAGCCGGACAGAUCAUAGUGCCUUAUUCCACCCCCACACCCCAGCCCGGACCGGACUGCCCAGCCCAGCUGGAAGUCCACGGCUUCCUUCUCCCUGUCUCUGUCCAUCUGUCGUUUAAACUCUCACUCCCACUCACAGAUAGCCACCUGGGAAGGAUUCCCCCCCGUCCCUCAUCCCUUCCUGAGAGCUGUAGCCAGGCACACGGCUCCCCACCCAGCCCAGGGCUCUCAGCAGCAGCUUUCGCUGAGGACAGAACUGUGCUUCAGACAGGGGUGCUCUCGGCCUCCUUCCAGCCCGCAGGUCCCCCGCCUCUUACCUCUAGCCCAGAGGAUGCACAGUCUCUGCCUUUGAGACCAGCUCCAUCGGACUCCUCCUGGGCACCGGGACUAGGGUCGCAGGCCUUAGCCUCCUCUCAUCCCAGAAGCAGUAAGACAGAGAACGGGAAUUCCUUCUUCUCACUCGGAUGUGGUUUGCGCCCCACGGCUGCCUUUCCGAGGGAGUGUAUUCAAUGUUACUUAAGAAAUACCCUGUUUACAGCUGGAGGAGAAACGUACCCAAUGCUGGGUGGAGAUUUAAUCCCUGGAGGGGGCCUGGCCUACUUCAUGGCACUGCCGGUGGUGACCCCAGAGUGAGUGAAGGCAGGGGGCCGGGGCGCUGGCCCUGCGCCCCGUCUGCCCCCGAUCCUGCGGUGCUAAGACCACCUUCCUCACGGCCUUCCUGCCCUUGGACAUUCCCCGCCUCCCUCGUUCCCUUCCUCCAAGCGUCUUGGCUCCUUAACAUAGCAGUUAUCGCCUAGAAAACCAGUGUUUGGAGCAAUAAGAUUAUUAUUAUUUUUUGCUUGAGUCUUUUUCUAAGAAAAGGAGAAGAGCUGGCAUUGUGGGAAUCUUUCUUUUUUUGCUGUUGGCUGUUUACCUUUUCAGAAGACAGAUCUUACUUGGGUGGAUGUCUGGGUUUCAGCCUCGGGGUAUCUUCAGGAAGCUUAGAGAGGCAGGGCCUCCCCCCCUAACUGCCCCUGCCCUGCUCCGCACUGCCUGGGCUCCCAGCCCUGCCCACCAAGCGCUCCGCUCUCCCUGCCUACCUGCGGGGCACUGGUGGCUCUGCCUCCGAGUGGGGCUCUUGGGUUCUUGAUCCUUUCCUCACCCUGGGCCUGUCUGGUGGCCCCCAGACAGGCAUUGCCGCUGGAGUCUCCUAGGACCUGGCGACCUGAGAAGAACGUGCUCUGUGGGCCCCAGGCCUGGGGCUGAGGCACAGCCUUGUAGACAUCCUGGGCCGUCUCUGAUCCUGCCCUGCCCAGGCCUAGAGGGCAGGGGCUCCUGUCUGGAGAGAGACCCUGGAUGGGGGGGUCAGGGACUGGGAGUGUGCCGUGAGAUCAGCUCGUGUCAGCAUCCACAGCGGUCAAGGGAUGAGUCCACUGCCCUCGGUUCCCAGAGCCCCCAGGACAGCAGCGGAGGUGGGAAGGAGGCCCCGUGUCUUUCCCAUGAGAGGCCACAGGAGGAAGGGAGUUUAUUUAGGGUCGUUUUAAAGCAAUCUUUUUGUGCUCCAGGCGCCUCUCCAUUAGGGCAGAGGAGUUUGUUGCAAUGAUUUAACACUCAUGUGGGGCCAGCUUGGGUGUGAGGGAGGAUUUGACCCAGGCACAGAGUUAGUUACAAAGACUAGUUAAUAAAUCUAUUUUUCUUUAUUUUCUUUUUUUGCACAGAAGCUGGUAAUCUAGGACCUACGUGUGAACAACUUUAUAUAUGAAUAUUUUUUGUACUUGGUUUACUUGGGUUGGUAUGAUACAUUAUAUUUAAGUUCCUUGAACACUGUGGAUCCCCCUAAUGUGUAUGAAUGACUGAGGCUUUGUAAAUUAAGGGACGUUUGUGUGAAUAAAGUUAUUUGAUGGGGUCAAAGAAGCCAUACGUGAUUUGAAAA